UUACCGUUCACUUCAAGUCACAAAAUAUCCAUUGUAUUAGGUCAACACCAAGUUAAGAACCGCAAGUGUCGGUCAUCAGAAUCGGAGAUAAUAGUAGUUAACAGAGGAUCGUUGUUGGCGUCACGAGGAACAGCAACACAGAUGAACCCUCCAAGUCACUUUCAGAGUGGUUCUUGACCAGUUCUAGGUCAAGAGUUCUGAUGACCAGCCACGGAGCUAGGGUCCUUUUGGUUGAGCUUUUGAACUUGCUGUAGCUUCUCCAAAAGCCAAUCAAAGGGGUUGACUUCCACCCAAAGCUAUAGCCAAAAGCAACUUUCCCCUAGUGUAUUUUUGAUAGCAGCUCAAACCUUGCUUCCACCGGCUGCAAGCAACUUCUAACUUUUCAAGAAAAUUACCCACGCUUCCACUCGUAAUUCACGUACACCUUCGUUUCUUUUCUUCUCCGUCAGCUCUCGCUCGCUCAUUCCUCUCUCACGGCGGCGCCUGCUCCCUCUCCGGCGCCCCUCUCCGCCUCCCUCCACUCUCCUCCUCCCAAGCCGGCGUCCACUCUCCUUCUCCUAGGCCGGUGGCGGCACAACUCCUCCAUCCUCUUCCUCCUCCGCCGCCAUGUACCGGCGCCUGUGGAGGAGAGGACGAGGAGGAGAGGGAGGGGGAGGAUACCGGUGCUGGUUGCCGCUGCAAGCACCGCUUCGCCGUUGAGAUCCGCGGCGCCCGCUUCAAGGCCACCUCGUUGCGCGCUUCCCGUCCUCCCGGGCUCCGACGGCGGUGUAGCUCCUGGCUGGCCGCCCCUCUCCAGCGACCACCCCUUCAAGGUGGAGCUCAGGUGGUGACGUAACUUCGGGUGGUGGCGAUUUGGUUUUGGUGGGCGGAGCUAAGGGAAUUUGAUCAGUGGAGGAGCUCUAGGUGUGGGGCAAUGGCGGCAGGGAAAACUCAAAUCCCCAACGGGGAAGUGAUCUCGCGUGACGUCGAGUGGUGGCUAGUGAGGUGAAGGGGGUGUGGGCGUGGGAGAUUUGAGAUGGUGGAGUACGGUUGGAGUAUUUGUCUAGUGAGUGGAGCUUGUUCAGCUCGAGCAGGCGCAAGCGGAGGAGCUGUGGCCGAGCAGCUGCAGCUGGGUGGCAGAGCGGUGGAGCAACAAUAGCGGUGGACGGGCAGCAGCGCGGCAAAGCAGCAGCAAUAGUGGAUAUGUUGCAAGAGCGGCGGAGUAGCAGUUGAUGCCUGGACCUGCGUGGAAGAGAGGAGAGAGCGGAUAGGUAGCAAGAGCAACAGAGCAACAGCUUGUGUCCUGUGCGGUUGGGAGAUAAGAUAAGGAAUGAAA
rnacentral:lncRNA from 1 species